CGUUUUCUUUUCCACGUGACUCAGCGCUAGCGGGACACGCGUCUCCUCCCCCAGCGCGCGGACGGGGCGGGGGCUGUGGAAUGUCUUUGUCUGCGCGCGGGCCGCGGAGUGCGGGGCGGAAGACCUGUUACUCGCGGGGCCACCCCUCCACCCCCCCAACGGCCAAGCCGCUGGCGGGGCUGCGCUCAGUGGCUGGAGCGAGGUCACUGACGUGUGGAAAUGAAAAGAGACAAGCGUGGGGAACGGGGGGUGGAGGGUGCGGAGGAGGGGUGGCGGGAAGAAGAGAGAAUUGAGGUUGUUCAGGCAGGAAGACUGGAAGGAGAGAGCCGGCCUGACCUGGGAGCGGGGCAGAGCGGGCACAGGGGAGGCUAGGGGCGAAGAAGGGGCAGCUAAGCGAGAGUCCGACGCCGGGAGGAGGGGUGGAGGUGGGGCAUUGGGAGACAUGAACUAAGAGAUGCGCAACAGAGUGGGGUAGAGGCCAGGUCCUUCAUCCAUGGUGACUCCUUCAUCCUUAGGGUGACUCCUACUGGUGGGAGUGCUAGGCCUCCUGCCUCUGUUGGGCCCCUCACCAUGGAUUAUUCCAGAUUCGCUCAGGGAGCCCCUUACCACUGCUGUCGCGGCCAAGGCCGGUAAACCUGCAUGAUAUUUGGGUUAUAGCAAUCUUUUUUCCUGCCUGUCCUCCCAACCAGAAGCUUCCCAGGGGCCGUCUCAGUCUCACAGGGGCCGACUCAGCCUCACAG